rnacentral:rRNA from 1 species
AUUGAACGCUGGCGGCAGGCCUAACCCAUGCAAGUCGAGCGGAGCGGCGGACGGGUGAGUAAUGCCUAGGAAUCUUCCUGGUAGUGGGGGAUAACGUCCGGAAACGGGCGCUAAUACCGCAUACUAGCAGAUGAGCCUAGGUCGGAUUAGCUAGUUGGUGGGGUAAAGGCCUACCAAGGCGACGAUCCGUAACUGGUCUGAGAGGAUGAUCAGUCAAACUGGAACUGAGACACGGUCCAGACUGCUACGGGAGUCAGCAGUAGGGAAUAUUGCACAAUGGGAGCAAGCCUGAUGCAGCCAUGCCGCGUGUGGGAAGAAGGACUUAGGGUUGGAAAGCACUUUCAGCGGGAAAGCGUUACCCGCAGAAGAAGCACCGGCUAACUCCGUGCCAGCAGCCGCGGUAAUAC